rnacentral:rRNA from 1 species
AUACGGAGGGAGCGAGCGUUAAUCGGAAUUACUGGGCGUAAAGCGCGCGUAGGCGGCUUUGUAAGUCGGAUGUGAAAGCCCUGGGCUCAACCUUGGAACUGCAUUCGAUACUGGUCGACUAGAGUACAGUAGAGGCAAGUGGAAUUUCCUGUGUAGCGGUGAAAUGCGUAGAUAUAAGAAGGAACAUCAGUGGCGAAGGCGACUUGCUGGACUGAUACUGACGCUGAGGAGCGAAAGCGUGGGGAGCAAACGGGAUUAGAUACCCCAGUAGUCC